rnacentral:tRNA from 1 species
AGGAUAAUAGUUAAGAAUAACAUUUAAUUUGCAUUUAAAAAUCAUUGAAAAAAUCAAUUUAUCUUA